GAUGAGCGCUGGCGGCGUGCUUAACACAUGCAAGUCGAACGGAAAGGCCCAAGCUUGCUUGGGUACUCGAGUGGCGAACGGGUGAGUAACACGUGGGUGAUCUGCCCUGCACUUCGGGAUAAGCCUGGGAAACUGGGUCUAAUACCGGAUAGGACCACAUUUUGGAUGGUGUGGUGGAAAGUUUUUCGGUGUGGGAUGAGCUCGCGGCCUAUCAGCUUGUUGGUGGGGUAAUGGCCUACCAAGGCGUCGACGGGUAGCCGGCCUGAGAGGGUGUACGGCCACAUUGGGACUGAGAUACGGCCCAGACUCCUACGGGAGGCAGCAGGGGGGAAUAUUGCACAAUGGGCGCAAGCCUGAUGCAGCGACGCCGCGUGGGGGAUGACGGCCUUCGGGGUGUAAACUCCUUUCGCUAGGGACGAAGCGCAAGUGACGGUACCUGGAGAAGAAGCACCGGCUAACUACGUG
rnacentral:rRNA from 1 species